CCUACGGGAGGCAGCAGUGAGGAAUAUUGGACAAUGGGCGCAAGCCUGAUCCAGCCAUGCCGCGUGCAGGAUGACGGUCCUAUGGAUUGUAAACUGCUUUUAUACAGGAAGAAACACCCCGACGUGUCGGGACUUGACGGUACUGUAAGAAUAAGGAUCGGCUAACUCCGUGCCAGCAGCCGCGGUAAUACGGAGGAUCCAAGCGUUAUCCGGAAUCAUUGGGUUUAAAGGGUCCGUAGGCGGUUAGAUAAGUCAGUGGUGAAAGCCCAUCGCUCAACGGUGGAACGGCCAUUGAUACUGUUUAACUUGAAUUAUUAGGAAGUAACUAGAAUAUGUAGUGUAGCGGUGAAAUGCUUAGAGAUUACAUGGAAUACCAAUUGCGAAGGCAGGUUACUACUAAUGGAUUGACGCUGAUGGACGAAAGCGUGGGUAGCGAACAGGAUUAGAUACCCUGGUAGUCCACGCCGUAAACGAUGGAUACUAGCUGUUGGAAGCAAUUUCAGUGGNUAGAGAAGUAGAUAAGUAUACCACCUCGGGAGGUACGUUACGUCGAAGAAGUAGAAACGUACGAAAGAAAGUUAGUACGGACGUGAGACGUGACCGACGGACGACGACGAGGGAGGAGG
rnacentral:rRNA from 1 species